rnacentral:rRNA from 1 species
CCUACGGGCGGCAGCAGUGGGGAAUAUUGCACAAUGGGGGAAACCCUGAUGCAGCGACGCCGCGUGGGUGAAGAAGUAUUUCGGUAUGUAAAGCCCUGUCAGCAGGGAAGAAAAUGACGGUACCUGAUUAAGAAGCCCCGGCUAACUACGUGCCAGCAGCCGCGGUAAUACGUAGGGGGCAAGCGUUAUCCGGAUUUACUGGGUGUAAAGGGAGCGUAGACGGCAGUGCAAGUCUGGAGUGAAAGGCCGUGGCUUAACCCCGGAACUGCUUUGGAAACUGUGCAGCUGGAGUGCAGGAGGGGUAAGUGGAAUUCCUAGUGUAGCGGUGAAAUGCGUAGAUAUUAGGAGGAACACCAGUGGCGAAGGCGGCUUACUGGACUGUAACUGACGUUGAGGCUCGAAAGCGUGGGGAGCAAACAGGAUUAGAUACCCUUGUAGUC